CUCUGUUACGCGAGACUGUCUAUGAAACCUAAGGAUGUCGGCGCUAUACCUCCUGCCCGUUGUCUUAAUGACGAUGUUGUUUCCUAUUACGUCGAGUCUAAAUGUUUGCGCCAAGCCGCCAGCAAUGUCGAAGAUGCUGAAGGUGCUGCGGCCGACGUCUAAAGUGCUGGUCGACUGCGCGGCUGACGUCAUCAUCACUUACAGGGCAAACGCUAGCCUCCUUGCAAAGAUAGUACAAAUGGUCUGCGAGUAUCACGACGAGUGCUACGCAGGAAUACUGGACAUA